rnacentral:rRNA from 1 species
CCUACGGGGGGCAGCAGUGAGGAAUAUUGGUCAAUGGACGUGAGUCUGAACCAGCCAAGUAGCGUGAAGGAUGACUGCCCUAUGGGUUGUAAACUUCUUUUAUAUGGGAAUAAAAUGUUCCACGUGUGGGAUUUUGUAUGUACCAUAUGAAUAAGGAUCGGCUAACUCCGUGCCAGCAGCCGCGGUAAUACGGAGGAUCCGAGCGUUAUCCGGAUUUAUUGGGUUUAAAGGGUGCGUAGGUGGCUUGUUAAGUCAGUUGUGAAAGUUUGCGGCUCAACCGUAAAAUUGCAGUUGAAACUGGCAGUCUUGAGUACAGUAGAGGUAGGCGGAAUGCGUGGUGUAGCGGUGAAAUGCUUAGAUAUCACGAAGAACUCCGAUUGCGAAGGCAGUUCACUGGACUGUGACUGACACUGAGGCUCGAAAGUGUGGGUAUCAAACAGGAUUAGAUACCCUUGUAGUC